AUCGCGGCGAGGAGAGCCUGCCCGCGGGCGCUCUGCGCCGCCAAAACAAACCACGGGAUAAGCAUGUAGGGAUGCCGGUCGGAUCACUUCCGGACGCGGGUUCGAUUCCCGCCGCCUCCAUUU
rnacentral:tmRNA from 1 species